rnacentral:rRNA from 1 species
GACGAACGCUGGCGGCGUGCUUAACACAUGCAAGUCGAACGCUGAAGCUCAGCUUUUGUUGGGUGGAUGAGUGGCGAACGGGUGGGUAACACGUGAGUAACCUGCCCCCUUCUUUGGGAUAACGCCCGGAAACGGGUGCUAAUACUGGAUAUUCACUGGUCUUCGCAUGGGGGUUGGUGGAAAGGGUUUUUCUGGUGGGGGAUGGGCUCGCGGCCUAUCAGCUUGUUGGUGGGGUGAUGGCCUACCAAGGCUUUGACGGGUAGCCGGCCUGAGAGGGUGAACGGUCACAUUGGGACUGAGAUACGGCCCAGACUCCUACGGGAGGCAGCAGUGGGGAAUAUUGCACAAUGGGCGCAAGCCUGAUGCAGCGACGCCGCGUGAGGGAUGGAGGCCUUCGGGUUGUGAACCUCUUUCGCUCAUGGUCAAGCCGCAACAAUGGUUGUGGUGAGGGUAGUGGGUAAAGAAGCGCCGGCUAACUACGUG